ACGGAAGGCAGCAGCUAAGAAUAUUCCGCAAUGGACGAAAGUCUGACGGAGCGACGCCGCGUGGAUGAUGAAGGCCGGAAGGUUGUAAAAUCCUUUUGAAACCGAGGAAUAAGCGCAGGAGGGAAUGCCUGCGUGGUGACUGUAAGUUUUGAAUAAGCACCGGCUAAUUACGUGCCAGCAGCCGCGGUAACACGUAAGGUGCAAGCGUUGUUCGGAAUUAUUGGGCGUAAAGGGCAUGUAGGCGGUUUUGCAAGCUUGGUGUGAAAUCCCGGGGCUUAACUCCGGAAUUGCGUUGAGAACUGCAUAACUAGAGUCACUGAGGGGCAAUCAGAAUUCCUGGUGUAGGGGUGAAAUCUGUAGAUAUCAGGAAGAAUACCAAUGGCGAAGGCAGGUUACCAGCAGAUGACUGACGCUGAGGUGCGAAGGUGCGGGGAGCAAACAGGAUUAGAUACCCUGGUA
rnacentral:rRNA from 1 species